rnacentral:tRNA from 1 species
GGCGGUAUGCCGGUUGUAUAGAGCAAGCGGUCUGUAAAACCGUCGGCUCAGCCUACGCAAGUUCGAACCUUGCACCUGCCA